UACGUAGGGGGGCAAGCGUUGUCCGGAUUUAUUGGGCGUAAAGCGCGUGUAGGCGGCCAGGUAGGUCGGUUGUGAAAAUUGGAGGCUCAACCUCCAGACGUCGAUCGAAACCAUCUGGCUAGAGUCCGGAAGAGGAGAAUGGAAUUCCUGGUGUAGCGGUGAAAUGCGCAGAUAUCAGGAAGAACACCGAGUGGCGAAGGCAGUUCUCUGGGACGG
rnacentral:rRNA from 1 species